GGUGAACGCUGGCGGCGUGCUUAACACAUGCAAGUCGAACGAUGAAGCCCAGCUUGCCGGGUGGAUUAGUGGCGAACGGGUGAGUAACACGUGAGUAACCUGCCCUUAACUCUGGGAUAAGCCUGGGAAACUGGGUCUAAUACCGGAUAGGAGCGUCCACCGCAUGGUGGGUGUUGGAAAGAUUUAUCGGUUUUGGAUGGACUCGCGGCCUAUCAGCUUGUUGGUGAGGUAAUGGCUCACCAAGGCGACGACGGGUAGCCGGCCUGAGAGGGUGACCGGCCACACUGGGACUGAGACACGGCCCAGACUCCUACGGGAGGCAGCAGUGGGGAAUAUUGCACAAUGGGCGCAAGCCUGAUGCAGCGACGCCGCGUGAGGGAUGACGGCCUUCGGGUUGUAAACCUCUUUCAGUAGGGAAGAAGCGAAAGUGACGGUACCUGCAGAAGAAGCACCGGCUAACUACGUG
rnacentral:rRNA from 1 species